AACGAACGCUGGCGGCAGGCCUAACACAUGCAAGUCGAACGCCGUAGCAAUACGGAGUGGCAGACGGGUGAGUAACGCGUGGGAACCUUCCCUAUGGUUCGGAAUAGCUCAGGGAAACCUGGGGUAAUACCGGAUAAGCCCUUCGGGGGAAAGAUUUAUCGCCAUUGGAUGGGCCCGCGUCGGAUUAGCUAGUUGGCGAGGUAACGGCUCACCAAGGCGACGAUCCGUAGCUGGUCUGAGAGGAUGAUCAGCCACACUGGGACUGAGACACGGCCCAGACUCCUACGGGAGGCAGCAGUGGGGAAUAUUGGACAAUGGGCGAAAGCCUGAUCCAGCCAUGCCGCGUGAGUGACGAAGGCCUUAGGGUUGUAAAGCUCUUUUGGCGGGGAAGAUAAUGACGGUACCCGCAGAAUAAGCUCCGGCUAACUUCGUGCCAGCAGCCGCCGUAA
rnacentral:rRNA from 1 species